rnacentral:rRNA from 1 species
GAUGAACGCUAGCUACAGGCUUAACACAUGCAAGUCGAGGGACCGGCGCACGGGUGAGUAACACGUAUCCCACCUGCCCUUUACUCGGGGAUAGCCUUUCGAAAGAAAGAUUAAUACCCGAUGUAAAGGAUGGGGAUGCGGUCCAUUAGGUUGUUGGUGAGGUAACGGCACACCAAGCCAUCGAUGGAUAGGGGUUCUGAGAGGAAGUGCCCCCAGACUGGAACUGAGACACGAACCAAACGCCUACGGGAGGCAGCAGUGAGGAAUAUUGGUCAAUGGGCUUUAGCCUGAACCAGCCAAUUAGCGUAAAAGAUGAAGGCUUAUGGGUCUUAAACUUCUUUUAUAUAAGAAUAUGUAUUAUAUGAAUAAGGAUCGGCUAACUCCGUGCCAGCAGCCGCGGUAAUAC